rnacentral:rRNA from 1 species
AUUGAACGCUGGCGGGAUGCCUUACACAUGCAAGUCGAACGGAGCGGCGGACGGGUGAGUAAUGUAUAGGAACGUGCCCAGUAGCGGGGGAUAACGACGCGAAAGCGGCGCUAAUACCGCAUACUAUCGGAGCGGCCUAUAUCGGAUUAGCUAGUUGGUGGGGUAAAGGCCCACCAAGGCGACGAUCCGUAACUGGUUUGAGAGGACGACCAGCCAAAAUGGGAAUUGGAACAGGCCCCGACUCCUACGGGAGGCAGCAGGGGGGAAUUGUGGGAAAUGGGGGGAACCCUUAUGCAGCCAUCCCGCGUGGGGGAAGAAGGCCUUCGGGUUGUAAAGGACUUUUAGGUUGAAAGCGGUACCUGCAGAAUAAGCACCGGCUAACUACGGGCCAGCAGCCGCGGUAAUAC